rnacentral:ncRNA from 1 species
UGAGGUGCUACAUAUGGUGGUGGCAAAUAUAGACAGCAGGACGUGGCCAUGGAAUUGACCAGGCCUAAAAUUGGAUGGCGCUAGAGCGUCGGACCUAUAACGCGACGUGAUUGCAAGCUGCACCCAUGGAUUUGUACAUUAUGUGGGCGUGUGUAAUUGCAGGUACGUUCGUUGCCAAGUGGGCCAUUUUUGGUAAGCAGAAAUGGCGCUGUGCGAUGAACCUAAUGCGUGAUUAAGGUGCCCUACACUGACGAUCAUGAGGUACCACAUAAGGUGAUGGCAAAUAUAGACAGCAGGGCGUGGCCAUGGAAUUGAACAGGCCUAAAAUUGGAUGGCGCUAGAGCGUCUGACCUAUAUCGCGACGUGAUUGUAAGCUGCACCUAUGGAAUUGUACAUUAUGUGGGCGUGUGUAA